AGUGAACGCUGGCGGUAGGCCUAACACAUGCAAGUCGAACGGCAGCACCGUAAGAGCUUGCUCUUACGGGUGGCGAGUGGCGGACGGGUGAGGAAUACAUCGGAAUCUACUUUUUCGUGGGGGAUAACGUAGGGAAACUUACGCUAAUACCGCAUACGACCUACGGGUGAAAGCAGGGGAUCUUCGGACCUUUCGCGAUUGAAUGAGCCGAUGUCGGAUUAGCUAGUUGGCGGGGUAAAGGCCCACCAAGGCGACGAUCCGUAGCUGGUCUGAGAGGAUGAUCAGCCACACUGGAACUGAGACACGGUCCAGGCUCCUACGAGAGGCAGCAGUGGGGAAUAUUAGACAAUGGGCGCAAGCCUGAUCCAGCCAUACCGCGUGGGUGAAGAAGGCCUUCGGGUUGUAAAGCCCUUUUGUUGGGAAAGAAAAGCAGCAGGUUAAUACCCCGCUGUUCUGACGGUACCCAAAGAAUAAGCACCGGCUAACUUCGUG
rnacentral:rRNA from 1 species